rnacentral:rRNA from 1 species
GUGUCAGCAGCCGCGGUAAUACGGGGGGGGCGAGCGUUGUUCGGAAUUACUGGGCGUAAAGGGUGCGUAGGCGGCUUUCUAAGUCGGAUGUGAAAACUCUGGGCUCAACCCAGAGCCUGCAUCUGAAACUGGAGAGCUAGGGUUUUGGAGGGGAAAGCGGAAUUCCAGGUGUAGCGGUGAAAUGCGUAGAUAUCUGGAGGAACACCGGUGGCGAAGGCGGCUUUCUGGACAAAUACCGACGCUGAGGCACGAAAGCUAGGGGAGCAAACAGGAUUAGAAACCCUCGUAGUCC